GCGCCUGCAAAUCAGGUGCCGGGAUUGGAACCCCAGACCAACUUCAUCGACGACAUUAAGGCGCGUUGGCGCUUUUUUU
rnacentral:sRNA from 3 species